rnacentral:rRNA from 1 species
AACGAACGCUGGCGGCGUGGAUAAGACAUGCAAGUCGUGCGGAAACUGCUUGGUAGCAAUAUCGAGCAGUUUCAGCGGCGAAAGGGUGCGUAACGCGUGGGCAAUCUUCCUAAAAGCUUGGAAUAACACCGAGAAAUCGGAGCUAAUAUCGAAUGUGACUACUGGGCGGAUUCGCCUUGCAGUUAAAGCCGGGGACCGAAAGGCCUGGCACUUUUAGAUGAGCCCGCGGCCUAUCAGCUAGUUGGCGGGGUAAUAGCCCACCAAGGCUAAGACGGGUAGGCUGGUCUGAGAGGACGACCAGCCACACUGGAACUGAGACAC